GGAUGAAGAAACCCAAACUCUGAGAAGGCUGCAACACAGCACCCCUAGAGACACCACCCCUUUUGGUGUCUUGACCAGUCACAGAUGGAGAGUCCCACGGACUGAGACGACAGGGGUCACCUAAGACCAUCAGAAAACACAGGUUUUUACGUUACGACUCAUAAUGGUAGCAAAAUUAUAGUUAUGAGGUAGCGAUGAAAAUAGGUUCCAGGUCUAUUCUGUCUGCCACAGACAAAUGGUACCGUUCACACACCGGCCACACUGUCUACGUGCUCGCCUCUAACCGGAAGGGAUCUCAUCUCAUGAUGCUGGACUUCAUCUUCAAAGCAAGGGGGCUUACAGUAAGCCCGAAUGAUUUCUACCCAUCCCUGAGGACUCCUGCCCCACCAAGCCAUCAAAUUGACUUCCCCCAGUUCUCGUAAGAGGAGGUACUCGAACAUCCCUGAGCCAGGCAGGUACCCCAAAUCCCUAUCCCUAUUAGAGCAACGUAGACCACAGGCCAAGUGUCAGCUACCAAGACAAGACACAGCUCUUUCUCCAAAACAGUAAGAGUUUGGUUUUUUUGUGCCAAAUAUGAGUGACCAGAACUCAGGAACACAGAUUCAAAAGACAAACGCCAGGGUCCCCAGGGGAAGACCUGAGAGAGAGAAGCUCACAAUGGACAAAUAAGAGUUCUAAGGAAGCCCCAAAGGCUGGACAUCCUCUCCUGCACGUGUGCCUCACGUCCAAGCAGCGUCAUUUUGCAUCAGCAGCUGACCCCCUCCAGGAGCGGGUGCUGACAUCUAAUUGGCACUGAAAACGAUGAUCAUGACAACCACUUGAUGUUGCUGGAGGCUUUUGCCAUUUAUCUGGGAGUCUGGCUCACAUCACAUCUUCUUAAGAGCAGAGGACUCAUUAAUUACUCAUGGAGCACAAGUCAUUAUUGUCCUUAAUUGUCACAUUGAGGUUGCUGUUGGAAGUGUCGUUCUCUGUCAACAUGAAAUAGAUUUUUCCCUUCUGUAAUUUGCUUGGCACCAUUUUCCCUGUUCGUGGGUGGAAGCAUCGGCCAACAUUGCAGGUACCCGACUGCAUGAGUAUUUUUUUAUUUGGGACCCACCUGCCUGAUAAUUUAAGAGUUCAUCUUCCUGUUUGCCUUUGAUGUACCCUGGGAACAUGGCUCCCUAGUUUCCCUGGGAACACAUACCCUCACCUGGAUUCCAGCCUCACACCAUGGAGACGUGGCUCCAUGGCAGACCAAGGAAUUCUUCCUAUGAUCUGAGUGGGAUUGCAGGCUGCCUGUUGGAUAGAUGUCUCCAGAGCAUCCUUACAUUUCCGUCACUUGCUUUGCAGACAUGAGGUCCUGAGUUUGCCCCUAGGAGCCAUGGAAAAAGCUGGGUCUGAUAACGGGUUUAUAAUCACAGCCCUGAGGAGGCAGAGACAGGGGGACCCCCAGGUCCUGGACACCCAGCUGAACUUAACCAGUGAAUUCCAGGCCAGUGAGGGACCAUUUCCAAAAAAAAAAAAGUGAUGCUAGGCAUGGUGGCAAACCCCUUUAAUCACAGUGUUUGGGAGGCAGAGGCAGGCAGAUCUUUCUGAGUUUAAGACCAGCCUCUCCCUGUGAUGACAUAUUU
rnacentral:lncRNA from 1 species